rnacentral:rRNA from 1 species
CCUACGGGCGGCAGCAGUGGGGAAUAUUGCACAAUGGGGGAAACCCUGAUGCAGCGACGCCGCGUGAGUGAAGAAGUAUUUCGGUUUGUAAAGCUCUAUCAGCAGGAACGAGACAAGACGGUACCUGACUAAGAAGCCCCGGCUAACUACGUGCCAGCAGCCGCGGUAAUACGGAGGGGGCAAGCUUUAUCCGGAAUCACUGGGUGUAAAGGGAGCGUAGGCGGCUGUGCAAGCCUGAAGUGAAAGGCGGGGGCCCAACACCGGGACUGCUUUGGAAACUGUACGGCUGGAGUGCAGUAGAGGUGAGUGGAAUUCCUGGUGUAGCGGUGAAAUGCGUAGAGAUCGAGAGGAACACUCGUGGCGAAGGCGGGUUCCUGGACAUAAACUGACGCUGAGGCACGAAGGCGAGGGGAGCGAAAGGGAUUAGAUACCCCAGUAGUC